CGUAGGUGAACCUGCGGAGGGAUCAUUACCGAGUUUACAACUCCCAAACCCAAUGUGAACGUUACCAAACUGUUGCCUCGGCGGGAUCUCUGCCCCGGGUGCGUCGCAGCCCCGGACCAAGGCGCCCGCCGGAGGACCAACCAAAACUCUUUUUGUAUACCCCCUCGCGGGUUUUUUAUAAUCUGAGCCUUCUCGGCGCCUCUCGUAGGCGUUUCGAAAAUGAAUCAAAACUUUCAACAACGGAUCUCUUGGUUCUGGCAUCGAUGAAGAACGCAGCGAAAUGCGAUAAGUAAUGUGAAUUGCAGAAUUCAGUGAAUCAUCGAAUCUUUGAACGCACAUUGCGCCCGCCAGUAUUCUGGCGGGCAUGCCUGUCCGAGCGUCAUUUCAACCCUCGAACCCCUCCGGGGGGUCGGCGUUGGGGAUCGGCCCUCCCUUAGCGGGUGGCCGUCUCCGAAAUACAGUGGCGGUCUCGCCGCAGCCUCUCCUGCGCAGUAGUUUGCACACUCGCAUCGGGAGCGCGGCGCGUCCACAGCCGUUAAACACCCAACUUCUGAAAUGUUGACCUCGGAUCAGGUAGGAAUACCCGCUGAACUUAAGCAUAUCAAUA
rnacentral:rRNA from 1 species